UACGUAGGGGGCAAGCGUUGUCCGGAAUUAUUGGGCGUAAAGCGCGCGCAGGCGGUCAUUUAAGUCUGGUGUUUAAUCCCGGGGCUCAACCCCGGAUCGCACUGGGAACUGGGUGACUUGAGUGCAGAAGAGGAGAGUGGAAUUCCACGUGUAGCGGUGAAAUGCGUAGAUAUGUGGAGGAACACCAGUGGCGAAGGCGACUCUCUGGGCUGUAACUGACGCUGAGGCGCGAAAGCGUGGGGAGCAAACAGG
rnacentral:rRNA from 1 species